rnacentral:rRNA from 1 species
UACGUAGGGGGCAAGCGUUGUCCGGAUUUAUUGGGCGUAAAGCGCUCGCAGGUGGUUCGUUGCGUCGUGCGUGAAAGACCCCGGCUCAACUGGGGAGUGUCGUGCGAUACGGGCGAACUGGAGGCCAGUAGGGGGAUGCGGAAUUCCGGGUGUAGUGGUGGAAUGCGUAGAGAUCCGGAGGAACACCGGUGGCGAAGGCGGCUUCCUGGACCGACACUGACGCUGAGGCGCGAAAGCUAGGGGAGCAAACGGG